CCUACGGGUGGCAGCAGUGGGGGAUAUUGCACAAUGGGGGAAACCCUGAUGCAGCGACGCCGCGUGUGGGAAGACGGUCCUCUGGAUUGUAAACCACUGUCCCCAGGGACGAAGAUGACGGUACCUGGGGAGGAAGCUCCGGCUAACUACGUGCCAGCAGCCGCGGUAAUACGUAGGGAGCGAGGGUUGUCCGGAAUUACUGGGUGGAAAGGGAGCGUAGGCGGGGAUGCAAGUUGGGUGUAAAAACUACCGGCUCAACUGGUAGUCGCACUCAAAACUGCAGCUCUUGAGUGAAGUAGAGGCAGGCGGAAUUCCUAGGGUAGGGGUGAAAUGCGUAGAUAUUAGGGGGAACAACAGUGGCGAAGGCGGCCUGGUGGGCUUUUACUGACGCUGAGGCUCGAAAGUGUGGGGAGCAAACAGGAUUAGAUACCCUUGUAGUC
rnacentral:rRNA from 1 species